UUGGUAUGGGUACUAGGUGGUUGGCUGUCAUAGUUCAUCUAUUUGGCAAAAUUCAGUUGUCCAUCCAAGAAGCAAUGCAGUCGAGACAUGAUUUCUUAAGAUUUGGUGGUGGCUUUGGCCAGUGUUCGGGUUUUAGUCCAUCCAGAUAGGACAAGAGGGAGUCCAAAAGUUUCACUAUGAAUUCCAUCAAUGAUAAGGGUCGAAUCAAAUUCAAAUUUUUGAUUAACAGU
rnacentral:lncRNA from 1 species